AGCCCACUGGGGCCAGUAAGUGAACCAAACCACCAUAUGGUGAAGUAAGAAUAGUGAAUUAACGAACACAUAAUACGCAUCAUACGUUAGACUUGACAUAAACAGAGUAAGUGAACCAUCAACUAAAUCAAAUAAUAAUUGUGAUGAUAACAAUGAAUAAACAAAAAUAUUAAAGAUUAGUCAUGAGCAGACGGCGAAAGUGAACCAAUAACCAAAUCAAAUUAUACAUCAUAAUCAUAUAAAUCCUAAACGGAGGAAAAGUUCUUGGUUAAUAAUGACCAUAAAUAUACAUAACGAACACGCCAUGUGCAAUAAAAUCUAAAUAUAUCCAAGUGGGAUACAACAAAUAAUAAAUAAUCGAUGUGAAAAAUAAAUACUAAUGUUAGUAUAAAAAAGCAAAAGUGUAUGAAUACACCAAAUACAUAAUAUGUGAUGCCCAAGCAGGUCAUAAAAAUUAUGCCUAAUCAUAAAUAAAUUAUAGGGCAUCACUUACAAGUCAGCCUAUGGUGUGACUGCAGUCUCCA
rnacentral:lncRNA from 1 species